UACCAGCACCCCGAGUGGUCGGGACGAUUAUUGGGCCUAAAGCAUCCGUAGCCGGUUCUGCAAGUCCCCCGUUAAAUCCAGCUGCUCAACAGAUGGGCCGCGGAGGAUACUACAGAGCUAGGAGGCAGGAGAGGCAAGCGGUACUCAGUGGGUAGGGGGUAAAAUCCGUUGAUCCAUUGAAGACCACCAGUGGCGAAGGCGGCUUGCCAGAAUGCGCUCGACGGUGAGGGAUGAAAGCUGGGGGAGCAAACCGG
rnacentral:rRNA from 1 species